GUCUACGGCCAUAGCACCCUGAGCAUGCCUGAUCUCAUCUGAUUCGGAAGCUAAGCAGGGUCGGGCCUGGUUAGUGCUUGGAUGGGAGA
rnacentral:rRNA from 1 species